GCAUGUGCAUGCAUGUGCAUGCAUGUGCACGCACGUGCAUGCAUGUGCAUGCAGGUGCAUGCAUGUGCACGCAGGUGCAUGCAGGUGCAUGCAUGUGCAUGCACGUGCAUGCAGGUGCAUGCAUGUGCAUGCACGUGCAUGCAGGUGCAUGCAGGUGCAUGCACGUGC
rnacentral:ncRNA from 1 species